rnacentral:lncRNA from 1 species
CUCCAGUGUUAUAAUGAAGAAAAAAUAAUAUUACCUCCACAUCUGUGGUAUUUUCCUCAUGUAAAUAUUGUGGUAACCAAUGAGAGGGCUGAAGGCUUUCUCACAUUCAUUGCACUCAAAAGGCACUUCUUCAGUGGGAGCACUCUUUUAUGUAAAGAAGCUAGCGUUCUAGCUAAAGAAUAUUCCCCAUUUGUCACACUCAUAACACCUUGAUCCGGUGUGAACUCUCUGGCCUUGAAGGAGCAAAAAGCCUGGGCAAGAGAAUUUCCAAAAUUUGCUUCACUUAUAAGGCCUCAUUCCAGUAUGAACUCUCUGAUGGCGACGGAACGAAGAACUGUGGCGAAAUGAUUUUCCACAAUCAAUGCAUUCAUAUGGCCUUUCUCCAGUGUGAACUCUCAAGUGUUUAAUAAGGCUGGAGUUUUCAGCAAAGGAUUUCCCACAGUCACUGCACUCAUAAGGCCUUUCUCCAGUGUGAACUCUCAGAUGUAUAAUAAGGCUAGAUUUUCGGCUAAAGGAUUUCCCACACUGCCCACACUCAUGCCUUUCUCCAGUAUGAACUCGCUGAUGGUGAAUGAGGUUGGACCUUAAGCUAAAGGAUUUCCCACAUUCACUACAUUCAUAAGGCCUUUCUCUAGUGUGAACUCUCUGAUGCUGCAAGAGUGAAGAGCUUCGGCGAAAUGAUUUUCCACACUCAACGCAUUCAUAAGGCCUUUCUCUAGUGUGAAGUGUCUGAUGCUGCAAGAGUGAAGAGCUUUGGUGAAAUGAUUUUCCACACUCACUGCACUCAUAGGUCUUUUGCCCAGUAUGAAAUCUCUCAUGAAUAUGGAGUGUAGGCUUUUGGUGAAAUAAUUUCCCAUAUUUGCUGCACUCAUAAGGCCUUUCUCCAGUGCGAACAUUCCUGUGUUUGUGAUCUCUUCUGGGUUCAGUGAGGCAGGACUUGUUCUUAAAUAAUUUCCUAUAUUCCCCACACUCAUAAGGCCUUUCUCCACUAUGACCUCCCUGGUCUUUGUAUAUAUGUAUACACGUGCUCUGCUUAGAAGGUGCUGCCUCAUCUUCCCCUCCAUGCCAACAACCUAAAAGCAAAGAAAUGCUGGUGAGGUACAUGUUGACUUUGUUGAGUAUGCAGCCUACCCACAAGAGUAUCUGACAAACCAAAAAACUAGUCUAUGGAAUUAUUUGCACAAACAGGGAGUUGGGUUCAGGUUGAGGUUGGGGCUGCUUAGCAUUAUCACAGAUAUAGAAGGCCUCAUAUUG